AGGACGAACGCUGGCGGCGUGCUUAACACAUGCAAGUCACGGGGGCCCGCAAGGGUAACCGGCGAACGGGUGCGUAACACGUGAACAACCUGCCCUCGUGUGGGGGAUAGCCGGGCUAACGCCCGGGUAAUACCGCAUACGGUUCCUUGGGGGAGUCCCUGGGGAAAGAAAGCUCCGGCGCACGGGGAGGGGUUCGCGGCCUAUCAGCUAGUUGGCGGGGUAAUGGCCCACCAAGGCGACGACGGGUAGCU
rnacentral:rRNA from 1 species